CUGUGCCUAUACAGUUUUAAAAAUAUGUAAAUUAUUACUAUGUGUUUUAUAAAUAUAUGCCACACAUAGGUGGUUGUAAUAUUUAAGUAUGUUUGGGGAUAACAAACAUUGAAGUCAGAAUAAUCAUUACCCCCGGAGAGAGAGGGAGGAGGAGAAAUGACUUGGCAGAAAUUCAAGGAGAGAUUCAACUCCAUCUGAAAUAUUUUCUUAUCUAAAAAGAAAUCUGAAGCAAACAUAAGCAUGGUCUGAUUUGGUAAAGUUCAGUAUUGGGAUAUGGGUGUUUGCUAUACAGGGUUGUUAUUCUAGCAUUUUAUAAUAAAUGCAUUUGAAGCAGUUUGUCCGUCACAGGAUCCAGCACAUCUGAGUUUGCACAAUCACUCUCCCCUCUAGGCACCAUUCACGGCAACUCCCAUUAUAAUUAUGGCAACCAGAGUGCAGCUUGCUGUGCCUAGCUCCGGAGGGAAAGUCGGCUGGUGAGAUGGAUCAGAUGUUUAAUGGCACUAACCUAAGAAAAUCUAAGGUUACAGAAAGUCUUGCUGUUGGGCUGAUUGGAGCCUUUGCCCCGGCACGUGCUCCUCGGUGUGCUGCGUUUCUCCCAGCCCUGAAUCAGGACACUGAGCUUCGUUUCCCUGGCUGGCAUGGAGGAGUGGGAAGAAUCCUGACGCUGGAGUCUGGAAGGCUGCGUUCCAACCCGGCUCCUCUCCACUCCUGGGCUCAGAGGGCCAGAGCACCUUGUGGGGCCACCUGGGGUGUGCUGGGUGCAGCGGGACCCCUCUGCCAUGCCCUGGUUCCUUGUCCUCCCUCUCUUCUACGUUCCACUCCCUACACACUUGUGUGUAAUUGAACUCUUAUUGGCAGAAUAAAGCAAGGAGGGCUUCCGGGAGAUGGGAAGCGGUGGAGUGGGAAACUCCUCACGUGCCCAGGAGCUCCAUGCGUAAGUGCAGAAAUGAGCCACUAAACUGUGGUGCCUUUUUCAGAAAGCAACUUCCUCCUUUUCCUUGACUUUUGGAGACUAAAUAUGGCAAAUGCCUUCUGGUGCCCCUUCCGUGGUGCUUGUUAAUUAGCCCAGAGGCAUUUUCUGUUGGUGAUCCCUGUCACCUCCUUUCCCGCUCUGUGCAGGCUUUGUCUGAAGACCAGGAGGAAGAAGAAACUUUUAGUGUCUCCAACCUGUGCAGGGCUGGGAGCUGCUGAGGCCUCGUUCUUGGGGGUGGCAUGGUGUGAGAAGGAUAUGUAAGCUUUUGGGGCGCCUGGCAUCAGCCAGUAACCUGGCACUCUCACCUGUUUUCAGCUUUGGAGGCUAUAAAACCUGCCCAAAAGAUGUGCCGUGAGUGCUGCUCCAUCAUUUCACUGUCACUGGAGAUGAAAGGAUGGGAAAAAUGAUGCAAGAAGUUCUCACUGCCAUUCUUUUAUUUGCUCUGACAUUAAAAAAAAAAAAAAAGGUAGAGCUUGCAUUUCUUACAUGCCCAACUGUUGUUUUUAAAACUUCCUAGAAAUUUGGAAAAGUGUCUUUGACACCUGCAUUUUUUUUUUUUUUUUUUUUUGAAAGAUGGAGUUUCGCUCUUGUUGCCCAGGCUGGAGUGCAGUAGUAUGAUCUUGGCUCACUGCAACCUCUGCCUCCUGGGUUCAAGCGAUUCUCCUGCCUCAGCCUCCAAAGUAGCUGGGAUUAAAGGCAUGUGCCACCACAUCCAGCUUAUUUUUGUAUUUUUAGUAGAGACAGGGUUUCACCAUGUUGGUCAGGCUGGUCUCAAACUCCUGACCUUGUGAUCCACCCACUUUGGCCUCCCAAAAUGCUGGGAUUACAGGCAUGAGCCACCGUGCCCAGCCCGACACCUGCAUUUUUAAACUGUGCUGGAGACAGUGCACCUCUGUGAUGGGGCUGGCAGGGGCUGGGGUUUGCCCAGGCUCAGGGCUGGGGUGCCACCUCCCUUGUCCUGGCCACUGCCCUUUAGGGGAUGACAUUCAUCGUCCUCAUUCUGGAAAUGAGGAAAUGGAGGCUUAGGACCUAUGUCAGUCAUCGAUUGCUGUAUAACCACCUUCUCAAAAUUCAGUGGCUUCAAACAACCUCUGUUGAUUUUGCCCUAGAGGCUGUGGCCCCCUGGGCAGCCCUCCGGGAUGAGGCUGAGCUGAUUCAGGCUUCAAGGUCAGGUCAGAAUGGCCUCCUGCAGGGAUGUAGAGCUCGGUGGAUGACAGGAUCACUGGGCCUUUUCCUGCUUCCUCCAGCCUGGUGGCCCCAGCUCCUCCAAAUGUGGUGAGAGGGUUACCAGGGGAGCACAUGGCAGUGAGCAGGAACUCCCCAGAUCUCAGCCAUGUCACUCCUUAUCAUCCCAGUGGCCAAAGUGAUCCUCUAGCCAACACCAGGGGAAGUGGGAAGGGGAGGUAGUCAGGGAGGUAAAGAAAGGGAGGCAGGGCGGGUGGCCUACAACAGGGAGGUUGAGUAACUUAACCCAGUCCAGGUGAGGAGGAACUGGGAUUCGAACCCACAUGCUUCCUUUGACCACUGAGGCCUGAUCACUCAAAUCCUAGAUGGGCAGAGCUCAAGACCCAGGUGUUGGACUUGGACAGCUUGGGUUAGACUUUCUAUUGCCAGACUCAGUUCCUUCUCUUCUUGCUCUUAGAAGUGGACGUUAAGAGCUAGUCGCCUGGUGUGAAGUGCCAAUCCUCGAGUGGAAGAUGCAGAAAGGUGCAGAGUUUUGCUUUGCCAUAGUUCACCUUGUCCAAUUCAGCUUCUAGAGCCCCUGUGCCACUUGUUGGAUUGACUAUUUAAGUGAGACCCCCGUGCCCCCAUAAACUCCCUUAUAGUUCCCCAUCCUGAAGACGGGAUUUUGUAGCCCAAACGCAGAGUCAAAAGUUUCUAAGUGCCCUGCCCGGCUUUCCCCUUAAGUUGUCCGGAUAUGCACCGUGAGUUGACAACCUCACCGGAUUGAUUCUGGUGUGGAAAAUAGGUGCCUUUAAAGAGGGGCUCUGUGGUGGUGGCUCUGGAGUGCCUGCAGUUCCUGUGCCUGGCGCCUCUGCCCUUGAAGGGCAGUGUGAAACCUGGGAGGGCGGGCGUUUCAGGCUCCUCUCUGAAGGAUGCAGUCGGGCCUCUGAUAGGUUACCUUAAUUACACCAUUUCCUCCUCCCUGUACACACUUCCAAAAUCUAAUUAUAGUACAUGUGACACCCUGUGACCAGCCAGAAGCCAGAGAUUAAUAUAAAGUCACAGCAGGACAGUUUGCUCCCUGAAGCGGUUUACAUGGCAUUGCAAAUAUAGUCCUCAAGGAUUUGGAGCUGAUAUUUGGAUGCAUUCAUCAUCACGUUAGCAUGUGAAGCAGGCGGGCUCUAUGGGAUCUGAUUCAACGUCCAUGGGAGGAAGGGCUGGGGUUUAUUCCCAUUGGCCCGUGCUGCUGUCCUUCUGGAGUCUGACAUUGGUAUCCUUGGGGUUUGACAUCUAUUCUGAGGGGCCUUAUCCCUUUGAUAAUAUGUCCCAAUUAAUUCUAUGUCUCCCUCCUCUGAAGGAGCGAGCCUGGUGCCUGUUAGGACCUGUGGGUCCGUCUACAGGGGUGCACUUGGCCACUCUCCUGGGUGUGCUAUCUCUGCCCAGAUAAAGGAUAUUGUGUGCAGGCAUUUGAGUUGGGAGCAUUUGUUUAUCUCUGUCCCUGCAGCUUUAUUUAGCCUGGAGCUCCAUACCGGGUGCUCACAGCCACUCAGCUGCCAGAAGAACUUGCCCCGGAGUGGGACUCUGAGG
rnacentral:lncRNA from 1 species